UACGUAGGGUCCGAGCGUUGUCCGGAAUUAUUGGGCGUAAAGAGCUCGUAGGCGGUUUGUCGCGUCUGCUGUGAAAUCCCGAGGCUCAACCUCGGGCCUGCAGUGGGUACGGGCAGACUGGAGUGCGGUAGGGGAGAAUGGAAUUCCUGGUGUAGCGGUGGAAUGCGCAGAGAUGUGGAGGAACACCAAUGGCGAAGGCAGCCUUCUGGGCCAACACUGACGCUGAGGCGCGAAAGCUAGGGGAGCGAACGGG
rnacentral:rRNA from 1 species